GAUGAACGCUGGCGGCGUGCCUAACACAUGCAAGUCGAGCGAUUCUCUUCGGAGAAGAGCGGCGGACGGGUGAGUAACGCGUGGGUAACCUACCCUGUACACACGGAUAACAUACCGAAAGGUAUGCUAAUACGAGAUAAUAUACUUUUAUCGCAUGGUAGAAGUAUCAAAGCUUUUGCGGUACAGGAUGGACCCGCGUCUGAUUAGCUAGUUGGUAAGGUAACGGCUUACCAAGGCGACGAUCAGUAGCCGACCUGAGAGGGUGAUCGGCCACAUUGGAACUGAGACACGGUCCAAACUCCUACGGGAGGCAGCAGUGGGGAAUAUUGCACAAUGGGCGAAAGCCUGAUGCAGCAACGCCGCGUGAGCGAUGAAGGCCUUCGGGUCGUAAAGCUCUGUCCUCAAGGAAGAUAAUGACGGUACUUGAGGAGGAAGCCCCGGCUAACUACGUGCCAGCCGCCGCCGUAA
rnacentral:rRNA from 1 species